rnacentral:rRNA from 1 species
GAAAGACGUGAUAGCCUGCGAAAAGCUCCGGGGAGGCGGCAAAUAUCCUGUGAUCCGGAGAUGUCUGAAUGGGGAAACCCACUUACCAUAAGGUAGGUAUUGCAACAUGAAUACAUAGUGUUGCAAGGCGAACGAGGGGAAGUGAAACAUCUCAGUACCCUUAGGAAAAGAAAUCAAUUGAGAUUCCCUCAGUAGCGGCGAGCGAAAGGGGAAGAGCCCAUUAAGUCAUAUAAGUUCUAGUGGAACGCUCUGGGAAGUGCGACCGUAGACGGUGAUAGUCCUGUACACGAAAGGGCUUAUAUGAUGAUGUCGAGUAGGGCGAGGCACGUGAAACCUUGUCUGAAUAUGGGGGGACCAUCCUCCAAGGCUAAAUACUCCUGACUGACCGAUAGUGAACCAGUACCGUGAGGGAAAGGCGAAAAGAACCCCUGUGAGGGGAGUGAAAUAGAUCCUGAAACCGCAUGCAUACAAGCAGUGGGAGCCGGCUUAGUCCGGUGACUGCGUACCUUUUGUAUAAUGGGUCAGCGACUUAUAUUCAGUAGCGAGGUUAACCG